AUGAACGCUGGCGGCGUGCCUAAUACAUGCCAGUCGCGCGAACAGACGAGGAGCUUGCUCCUCUGACGUUAGCGGCGGACGGGUGAGUAACACGUGGAUAACCUACCUAUAAGACUGGGAUAACUUCGGGAAACCGGAGCUAAUACCGGAUAAUAUAUUGAACCGCAUGGUUCAAUAGUGAAAGACGGUUUUGCUGACACUUAUAGAUGGAUCCGCGCCGCAUUAGCUAGUUGGUAAGGUAACGGCUUACCAAGGCGACGAUGCGUAGCCGACCUGAGAGGGUGAUCGGCCACACUGGAACUGAGACACGGUCCAGACUCCUACGGGAGGCAGCAGUAGGGAAUCUUCCGCAAUGGGCGAAAGCCUGACGGAGCAACGCCGCGUGAGUGAUGAAGGUCUUCGGAUCGUAAAACUCUGUUAUUAGGGAAGAACAAAUGUGUAAGUAACUAUGCACGUCUUGACGGUACCUAAUCAGAAAGCCACGGCUAACUACGUG
rnacentral:rRNA from 1 species